UAAAAUCUUAUCAAUUCCCACCCCUAAGGGAGAACCUUCUUGGAUGAAGCUGAGACACACAGCAGCGCCCCCCGGUGGAGACAUGAGCCUUGAGUUGAAUGUGCAUGGAUAAAAACGCCCGUGUGAUGUACAGUAAAACUUUGCUACUGUGUGUGAGUGUGACCCUCAUGCCUCCAGCUUGGAGGUGUCAUUCCCUUUUAAUGCUCAGAUAAAAUCAUCCACCCCUGAUUAAGAACCGUGAUCACUGAAGACCAAAGAACAGGAUUCCUGAGCAGACGAUUACAACGGGUAACGCUGACGGAUCCCUUACACGCGUGUGGAGCGUGUAACACGCAUUAACAAUACAGCCAGGCGUGUAGCCGUGAUUGUGAUCUGACUCAAGGCGGACGCAGAGUGGAUGUGUGCAGAACGGGAGGCAGUGAAGUGAGAUUACUGCAAAUUGAAAACAGACGAAGGGAGAGAAGAGAGGGGAGGCUGGUACUCUCAUUACAUUCAGACUGAUGACGAGUGCUGGACGCUGAGAAGGAGGCAAGGACAGAGGGAGCAGGAAGAGGAUAAAGAGGGAGGACAGGUUGGAGGAGGCGGCGCUCUCAGGUGGUUUGGGAGGUUGAAGAGUAAUGUAGAGGUGGAAACUGUGUCUGAAAUGACUGCACGACAUACCCUUCAGUGUCUAAAGAAGCAGCACCAGGGUUCUUCUCUGCCUCUAUGAGACAGGACGGCUCCAAAGCGACGGGACACACGUGCAUUCAAAGGUUGAGGGUAAGCACUCCAAACUUCCCCUUCACUUCCAACCAACAGGCAACCUCCGGUCUCAAAAUAUGAAGCCCAUGAGAAAGUGUUAUAAACUGCAACUCAUCGAGCGUCCACUAGAGGCUGGCUGCAGA